rnacentral:rRNA from 1 species
UACCAGACUCCUACGGGAGGCAGCAGUGGGGGAUAUUGCACAAUGGGGGGAACCCUGAUGCAGCGACGCCGCGUGGGUGAAGAAGCGCCUCGGCGCGUAAAGCCCUGUCAGCAGGGAAGAAAAUGACGGUACCUGUAGAAUAAGCUCCGGCUAACUACGUGCCAGCAGCCGCGGUAAUACGUAGGGAGCAAGCGUUAUCCGGAAUUAUUGGGUGUAAAGGGUGCGUAGACGGGACAGCAAGUUAGUUGUGAAAGCCCUCGGCUUAACUGAGGAACUGCAACUAAAACUAUUGUUCUUGAGUGCAGGAGAGGAAAGCGGAAUUCCUAGUGUAGCGGUGAAAUGCGUAGAUAUUAGGAGGAACACCAGUGGCGAAGGCGGCCUGCUGGACGACAACUGACGGUGAGGCGCGAAAGCGUGGGGAGCAAACAGGAUUAGAUACCCCGGUAA